ACUUAGAUAGUUUAAUAGGUUAAAACUACCGCUUCAUAAGCGGUUAAUGUAGGUUCAAAACCUUCUCUAAGUA